rnacentral:rRNA from 1 species
AGUGAACGCUGGCGGUAGGCCUAACACAUGCAAGUCGAACGGCAGCACAGUAAGAGCUUGCUCUUACGGGUGGCGAGUGGCGGACGGGUGAGGAAUACAUCGGAAUCUACUUUUUCGUGGGGGAUAACGUAGGGAAACUUACGCUAAUACCGCAUACGACCUACGGGUGAAAGCAGGGGAUCUUCGGACCCUGCGCGAUUGAAUGAGCCGAUGUCGGAUUAGCUAGUUGGCGGGGUAAAGGCCCACCAAGGCGACGAUCCGUAGCUGGUCUGAGAGGAUGAUCAGCCACACUGGAACUGAGACACGGUCCAGACUCCUACGGGAGGCAGCAGUGGGGAAUAUUGGACAAUGGGCGCAAGCCUGAUCCAGCCAUACCGCGUGGGUGAAGAAGGCCUUCGGGUUGUAAAGCCCUUUUGUUGGGAAAGAAAAGCAGCAGGUUAAUACCCCGCUGUUCUGACGGUACCCAAAGAAUAAGCACCGGCUAACUUCG